CUGCUCCCUCCCAACUUCUAUUAAAUGUAAGUCUCCUUUGUCUCUGUGUGAGGAUGUGCGGAGACAAGAACUGUUGAAAGUCUGCCUGCCCCUCGUUCACUUCUCUUCCCUCCCUCCUUGAGACCCCUCCUCUCCAUUAUCCCCAUCUUCCAGAUUGACGAAUCCGAAGAAUCUUGCUACUGCCUAAGAGGUUGUGAGAGAGAUAAGUAACUGAGGCAAAGAGUGUUAAGUGAUUUGCACAGAAUUACACAACUAAUAAGUGUCUGAGGCCAGAUUUGAACUCCUGAAGACGAGCCCUCCUGACUUCAGGUUCAGCACUCAAUCCACUGAGCCAUCCAACUGCCUGUGGUUGUGCUGCCAUGUUCCCACUGGUUCCCUCUGAUGCCUAGGUGGAGACCAGCCCUGCUGGCAGUCUUCUCUGUCAGAGAUGGAGGAGGAGGAGGGAUUUCCCUUUCCCUCUUGAGUCUGGAAGGGAUUUGUGUGCAGCUGGAAAUUUGCCUACCCCCAGUCCCCUCCCCUUUACAUCAGCCAUCACAAAGACCCCCACCCCUGCCUGACAGACACAGAAGUUCCUGCACUUAUCUGCUUAGACGUGUGAGGUAA